GGGGGAUUAGCUCAUUUGGUAGAGCGCUUCCAUGGCAUGGAAGAGGUAUGGGGUUCGACUCCCCAAUUCUCCA
rnacentral:tRNA from 1 species